GACGAACGCUGGCGGCGUGCUUAACACAUGCAGGUCGAGCGAGCAAACUUUAACAGAACCCUUCGGUCGGAUGACAAACGGGUUUAGCGGCGGACGGGUGAGUAACAUGUCAGUAAGCAGCCUUAGACAUUGCUAUAGCCUCUGGCAACCGGGAUCUAUUCCAAAUAAAAUCAUAAUGACACAUGUCAUUAGGUUGAAAGCUACGGUGGUCUUAGAUAGAGUCGCGUUCGAUUAGUGAGUUGGUAGAGUAAAAGCCCACCAAGGCGACGAUGGGUGGCCGGGCUGAGAGGAUGAUCCGCCACAAUGGAAAUGAGACACAGACCAAAAUCCUACGGGAGGGAGCAGUGGGGAAUAUUGGACAAUGGAGGCAACUCUGAUGCAGCGACGCCGCGUGAGCGAGGAAGGCUUUAGAGUCGUAAAGUUCUUUUAUAUGGGACGAUAAUGACGGUACCGGAAGAAGAAGCCCCGGCUAACUACGUG
rnacentral:rRNA from 1 species